ACAAGGGGAAACCCUUGUUUCAAAGAAUCAAUCAAUUGAACUUGAAAUUGAAGGAAAAUCCAAUGCAUGAACUUCAAAUUACACUCUUCUGAACUCGAUUAUUGAAGUGGUGUAAAAGAAGAAAGCUCAAAUGCUAGGAAAUCGGAAGGUUCACAAGAUGGAGGUAAAUCCUCAACUUACAUGGCUUGGCGAUCUUGGAACGAACGCACACUUACUACGCCCACCUCGCGCUUCCGUUGCUAAUUACUUGAAUAGUUCAAGUUUUUGUUUUUAUGUACAAACGACUUGUUCAACCUUGAUGGUAUUAUGUUUUUGGUAAAUGUUAGUCUUAUUAGUAACCUUGUAACCAAAAAAGUUGGUCAUGUCGUCGUUUUGUCAAAUGGAUAUAAGUUAUAAUGUUUGACAUUAAGAAAUUGUCGAAAAAUUUUCUAGUUUUCC